UACGUAGGGUGCAAGCGUUAAUCGGAAUUAUUGGGCGUAAAGCGCGCGUAGGCGGCUACUUAAGUCGGAUGUGAAAGCCCUUGGCUCAACUGAGGAAGUGCACCCGAAACUGAGUGGCUAGAGUACGAAAGAGGGUCGCGGAAUUCCCGGUGUAGAGGUGAAAUUCGUAGAUAUCGGGAGGAACACCGGUGGCGAAGGCGGCGACCUGGGUCGAUACUGACGCUGAUGCGCGAAAGCGUGGGGAGCAAACAGG
rnacentral:rRNA from 1 species